AGAGUUUGAUCCUGGCUCAGAACGAACGCUGGCGGCAGGCUUAACACAUGCAAGUCGAACGGUUGUAGCAAUACAGCAGUGGCAGACGGGUGAGUAACACGUGGGAACCUUCCUAGGGGUACGGAACAACUCAGGGAAACUUGAGCUAAUACCGUAUACGUCCGUGAGGAGAAAGAUUUAUCGCCCCUAGACGGGCCCGCGUAGGAUUAGGUAGUUGGUGAGGUAACGGCUCACCAAGCCUACGAUCCUUAGCUGAUCUGAGAGGAUGAUCAGCCACACUGGGACUGAGACACGGCCCAGACUCCUACGGGAGGCAGCAGUGGGGAAUCUUGGACAAUGGGCGCAAGCCUGAUCCAGCCAUGCCGCGUGAGUGAAGAAGGCCUUCGGGUUGUAAAGCUCUUUUACCAGGGACGAUAAUGACGGUACCUGAGAAUAG
rnacentral:rRNA from 1 species